GAUGAACGCUAGCUACAGGCUUAACACAUGCAAGUCGAGGGGAAACGCCAUCGAAAGCUUGCUUUUGAUGGGCGUCGACCGGCGCACGGGUGAGUAACGCGUAUCCAACCUGCCCAUCACUUGGGAAUAACCUUGCGAAAGUAAGACUAAUACCCAAUGACAUCCCACGAAGACAUCUGAAUGGGAUUAAAGAUUUAUCGGUGAUGGAUGGGGAUGCGUCUGAUUAGCUUGUUGGCGGGGUAACGGCCCACCAAGGCAACGAUCAGUAGGGGUUCUGAGAGGAAGGUCCCCCACAUUGGAACUGAGACACGGUCCAAACUCCUACGGGAGGCAGCAGUGAGGAAUAUUGGUCAAUGGGCGAGAGCCUGAACCAGCCAAGUAACGUGCAGGAUGACGGCCCUAUGGGUUGUAAACUGCUUUUAUAAGGGAAUAAAGUGGGUCUCGUGAGACUUUUUGCAUGUACCUUAUGAAUAAGGACCGGCUAAUUCCGUG
rnacentral:rRNA from 1 species